CGGCCAGCGGCGUUUCGGGGC
rnacentral:miRNA from 1 species